rnacentral:rRNA from 1 species
CCCUUAGAUGUUCUGGGCUGCACGCGCGCUACACUGAUGCGUUCAGCGAGUAUUCACCUUGCCCGGGAGGGUUGGGUAAUCUUUUGAAAACGCUUCGUGAUGGGGAUAGAUUAUUGCAAUUAUUAAUCUUCAACGAGGAAUUCCUAGUAAGCGCGAGUCAUCAGCUCGUGCUGAUUACGUCCCUGCCCUUUGUACACACCGCCCGUCGCACCUACCGAUUGAAUGGUCCGGUGAAAUCUCGGGACGGCGGCUUGGUCGCUUGCGUCCGACUGCUGAAACUUGAUUAAACCAUAUCAUUUAGAGGAAGGUGAAGUCGUAACA